rnacentral:rRNA from 1 species
UACGGAGGGUGCAAGCGUUAUCCGGAUUCACUGGGUUUAAAGGGUGCGUAGGAGGGCAGGUAAGUCAGUGGUGAAAUCUCCGAGCUUAACUUGGAACUGCCGUUGAUACUAUCUGUCUUGAAUAUUGUGGAGGUGAGCGGAAUAUGUCAUGUAGCGGUGAAAUGCUUAGAUAUGACAUAGAACACCAAUUGCGGAGGCAGCUCGCUACACAUAUAUUGACUCUGAGGCACGAAAGCGUGGGGAUCAAACAGG